AUGCACUUUUCCAAUCACAUCAGUGUGCGCGGAGCCAGUCUGACAUUGUGCUGGGCUUGGCGAGACGCAAGCGCCAUCUCCGACACCUUCCCGGAGCAUCCCCUCGCCUCUCUUCUUCCGUCUCACCUGGCACGAACUCCUGGCACAGCAUGCAUUAUUACAGCCAUCGCUUUUGAUUAUAUCAUCCUCCGAGGCUGGACUGCGCGAGGAAGACGAAUAACACUUUGGGGAAUAGCAAGUAUGUUUCUGCUGCGGAGAAUCAUUGCGUCCAGGUGGUUUUGUUCAAUUUAUUUUAGUCUUAAGAUAUAUGCAGAAAUCCACUCCUCGGGCAUGCGUGUGUCUGCCUGUGCGGGAUCAGACAGUGGUUGUCCGAACCUGACCUUGUACUCGGAAAGGCUGCGGACCCUGGUAGGUCCCCGUGCUCCCUUCCCCACCUGCAGCUGCAGGAGGACACCGCGGGCACUGCACAGCCAGCGCAAAAUCUCGCGCUGCCUUGGAGCCAAGGGACACGUUCGUCAACAUUUGUUUUGCUCCUUUAGCGGGAGCAUCACGGAGAGCACGGGAGGGAUUUUCCCAGCAGCAAAACCUUGUUCUCCCUCCUGCCCUUGGGAAUCCGCUCUCCGCAGGAGCCAAAGGCUUGCCUGAUGCUUUGCCCACCAUUGUCAUGGGCUGAAUCAAAGGGCUUGCAGCUCCGGGAUUAUUGUGGCUUGAAAGCCACAGACUUAAAAAUUGAAAGAUGCAAUUCAGCUGUUGGUAUAUAAAUAUGCAGAAAUUAUAGCUCAUUCCUAAACUUAAUUGAGCACCAUAUGAUCUGCAUUCACUGCAGUCAAUUUGGAAACAUUAAAAGCUAUUUUGAUGGCUGUUUUUACAGUUACUGAUUUGUUAAUGUGUGUUUUGCAAAUGCAGUUUUGAUUGGCUCAUCUUAAUUUGCCAAAUGGAAGGCACUUCUAAUAGAGCUAAAAGGAGCAGAGGAUUUCGUUUGACUUUGCAUUUUAAUACGUUGGCUGGUGUUUAUUUUUCCACUCCAGCCCGCGCGGGGAGGGAAGGGGGUUGUGGUGAAACACACGCCCAGCCAUUAAACACUUUGAUGUAUUUGAGGGAAGACGUGGUUUUACUGGUGCGGUCGUCUGCCGCUGGAAAACAUGAAAAAGAGCAAGUGAUCGCUAGCUGUUCUAUCACUGAUAAGUUUUUUAAUUCCUUCCCAAUCCCCAAAAAGAGGCGAUUUUCGAUACCCACAGCACCCGGCGAUGCUGCCGCAGGAGGAGGAAGAGGCUGUGUCCCUUACGGGAGGCUCAGCAAGACGAAGAUUCGCAUUUCCCCGUGGCGACCCCGUCCCCAUCUGGCUGACCGUGGGAACAAAGAAAUCCCCGAGAGCGUCGGGGCGGUCUGUGCACUCCCCCUCCUUCUCACGUCCUUUAUCGCAGGCACCGAUCGGAUCAGCCACGAGGGUGGGUGGCAGGAUCGCAGGUUUUUCUGGUCGGACCUGAAGGAGCCACAGGUUUAUCGCGCAGCCCUCUGCUCCUGCAGGCACCACAUCAAAUAGCCUCCUUCUCCGCCCGGGAGAGGAGCCCGCCGCCGCCUCCUGAGCUUUCACAACUGGCCACCAAGACAGCGUCUUGGGCUUCCAAACCUUGUGCAGAAAUGG
rnacentral:lncRNA from 1 species